CACCGUGAGAGACAGAACCAAAUGGUUCCUAUUAUGCUAUGGACCUUGAGGCUGGAGAGAGAAAGCAGGGGGAGAUUAGGGUAGAAAAGGACAAAGUACCAAGUUAUAGUGAGGAAAACUGUCUCCAAUCCACCUAGUCUGAGCAGAGGCACCUGGGAAAGCCCUCAGCCAAACCCUCAGGUAGAGAGACCUCCAACUGAGAACACCUGGCUGAGAAUACAUCUAAAUAUAAGAGCAUGGCUUGCCAGCAGGGCCUGAGCCCUUGCCUGUAACUUUUUUCAGAAACUGCAAUUCAUUGUCUCUGCAUCAAGUGGAAAAGUCUGCUUUCCUCGGAGACCUGCCAGGAUCAGGAAUGCAUCUCUGUCUCCAGGAAUCAAGAGCAUUUCACAGGCAGUUCACAAAAGAAAAGUAUAGAUCUUACUCUAUCCAUGAUGGAAUUGCAUAUCAAAAGACCCAUUAUAAGUACCUUUUUGCAUGAAAAGAAUUCCUACAAUCAAUUCUAAAAGGAUGAAUGCAUCACAGAGAUAAAUGCACAAGAGCACAAGCAAUUUGAAAACCAUGAAAAUGAUAUUCCAAGAGCUUUUUCACUUUUUUCUUGUCAUAUAAAAAAUGUAUAAUAUCAUAAACAAAGUAUGCUUUUUGACAGCUGUGGACAUUUUGCUGAGUGGCAAUACUGCCCAAGAUGCCCCCAGCUCACCUGUUUCCCCAAAUGCCUUCCUCAUUAGAGAAUUUUCCACUUCUGCUCAAGAUGAAACAAGAGGACAGCUCCCCUGUUCCCCAUUAUCUAACUACCAGUUUUUUAUUACUGUUGUUGUAGUAAGAACACUUAGCAUGAGAUCUACCCUCUUGACAAA